AGCGAACGCUGGCGGCAGGCUUAACACAUGCAAGUCGAACGGUCCUUCGGGAUAGUGGCGGACGGGUGAGUAACACGUGGGAACGUGCCCUUAGGUUCGGAACAACACAGGGAAACUUGUGCUAAUACCGGAUAAGCCCUUCGGGGGAAAGAUUUAUCGCCUUUGGAGCGGCCCGCGUCUGAUUAGCUUGUUGGUGAGGUAAUGGCUCACCAAGGCUACAAUCAGUAGCUGGUCUGAGAGGAUGGCCAGCCACACUGGGACUGAGACACGGCCCAGACUCCUACGGGAGGCAGCAGUGGGGAAUCUUGCGCAAUGGGCGAAAGCCUGACGCAGCCAUGCCGCGUGGAUGAUGAAGGUCUUAGGAUUGUAAAAUCCUUUCACCGGGGACGAUAAUGACGGUACCCGGAGAAGAAGCCCCGGCUAACUUCGUGCCAGCCGCCGCGGUAA
rnacentral:rRNA from 1 species